AUUGAACGCUGGCGGCAUGCCUUACACAUGCAAGUCGAACGGCAGCAUGAUCUAGCUUGCUAGAUUGAUGGCGAGUGGCGAACGGGUGAGUAAUACAUCGGAACGUGCCCUGUAGUGGGGGAUAAUUAGUCGAAAGAUUAGCUACUACCGCAUACGACCUGAGGGUGAAAGUGGGGGACCGCAAGGCCUCAUGCUAUAGGAGCGGCCGAUGUCUGAUUAGCUAGUUGGUGAGGUACAGGCUCACCAAGGCGACGAUCAGUAGCUGGUCUGAGAGGACGAUCAGCCACACUGGGACUGAGACACGGCCCAGACUCCUACGGGAGGCAGCAGUGGGGAAUUUUGGACAAUGGGCGAAAGCCUGAUCCAGCAAUGCCGCGUGUGUGAAGAAGGCCUUCGGGUUGUAAAGCACUUUUGUCCGGAAAGAAAUGGCUCUGGUUAAUACCUGGGGUCGAUGACGGUACCGGAAGAAUAAGGACCGGCUAACUACGUG
rnacentral:rRNA from 1 species